rnacentral:rRNA from 1 species
AGGAAAUAGAUACCCAGGUAGUCCUGGCAGUAAACGGUGCACGUUUGGUGUGGGCGCAAUCGACCGCGUCCGCGCCGGAGCUAAACGCGUUAAACGUGCCGCCUGGGAAGUACGGUCGCAAGAUUAAAACUCAAAGAAAUUGACGGGGACCCGCACAAGCGGUGGAGUAUGUGGCUUAAUUCGAUGCAACGCGAAGAACCUUACCUGGUCUUGACAUGCAUUGUGUCCCCGGUGAAAGCCGGAUAGGGUAGCAAUACCCGCUUUGCACAGGUGCUGCAUGGCUGUCGUCAGCUCGUGUCGUGAGAUGUUGGGUUAAAGUCCCCGCAACGAGCGCAACCCCUGUGAUUUGUUGCCACCGGCUUAUGCCGAGCACUCGAAUCAGACUGCCUCGAUCAACGAGGAGGAAGGUGGGGAUGACGUCAAGUCCGUAUGGCCCUUACGACCAGGGCUGCACACGUACUACAAUGCCCAGUACAAUGUGAACCGAGACCGCGAGGUGGAGGAAAUCAAUAAAACUGGGCUCAGUUCAG